UCCUCCCUCUGGCGGCGUGCUUAACACAUGCAAGUCGAACGGUGAACCUCUUCGGAGGGGAUCAGUGGCGAACGGGUGAGUAACACGUGGGCAACCUGCACCCGGCUCUGGGAUAACUCCAAGAAAUUGGCGCUAAUACCGGAUGUUCACCGCUUCCCGCGUGGGUGGUGGGGGAAAGGGCUUCCGGCUGGGGAUGGGCCCGCGGCCUAUCAGCUUGUUGGUGGGGUAGUGGCCUACCAAGGCGACGACGGGUAGCCGGCCUGAGAGGGUGACCGGCCACACUGGGACUGAGACACGGCCCAGACUCCUACGGGAGGCAGCAGUGGGGAAUAUUGCGCAAUGGGCGGAAGCCUGACGCAGCGACGCCGCGUGGGGGAUGACGGCCUUCGGGUUGUAAACCUCUUUCAGCAGGGACGAAGCGCAAGUGACGGUACCUGCAGAAGAAGCACCGGCCAACUACGUG
rnacentral:rRNA from 1 species